ACUGAGAAAUGCUACAGUAAGAAUACAAGCUGUGUACAGAGGUUAUCAACAGAGAAAUAUGUACUCAACUUUGCGUGUGUCGGCCAUUGUUAUACAACAAAAGUAUCGUGCAACCCGCAAGUCUCGAAUUGCCCGCAAGGAAUUCAUACAAAAGCGAACUACAACCGUACGCCUUCAAGGUUUUGUUCGUGGAAGAUUAUGCAGAAGACAAUGCGAACGUGUUAAAAGCUCUGUAAAAGUUAUUCAAACUCGUUGGCGAGCCUUGCUCAACGCUCGCAAAUCAAGAGCGGAAUAUCAACACAUGAGAGCAUGCGCAAUCACCAUUCAGUCUUUCACCAGAGGACUGCUGGCUCGCAGGAUAGCACACAGAAAACGAGCUGCAGUUACAAUUCAGUCAUUCUGGAGAGGUAUCGUCCAGAAGAUUAGCUACCAUAAGUCUAGAAACGCUGUUAUGAAAAUACAAACUUGUCUACGUAUGAGAAUCGCAAAGAAGAAAUAUGAGCACUUGAAAAACACGGUUGUACACCUUCAGAGACUGGUGCGAGCCAAUCAACUGUGUCGACUUCAUACUAUGGAGUACCAGACUAAACGACAAGCUAUUAUCGCUUUACAAGCUUCUCUACGUGGUUAUUUGGUGAGGAAAAAGUUGAAAAUAAUGAAUGAUGCUGCUAUCAAAAUUGAGAGUGCUUACAGAGGUUAUUCAACUCGAAAGCGUCACCUAAGGGUGACUCGUUGUGUUCUCUUACUUCAAAGAAGGCGACGAGCCACAACUUUGGGCAGAAAAGCGAUGAUUGACUACCAAAGAAAACGACGGUCAGUGAAAUUUCUCCAAUCACAGGUCCGUGGUUUUAUUGCAAGAAGAAACUACAGUGAUAUCCUAAGGAAAAUUAUUUCUCUUCAAUCCGCUGUACGUGGCAUGCAGGCGCGUAAGAAGUAUCUAAAAACAUGUGAAGCUGCCUUUGUCAUUCAGGAACGUUAUCGUGCCCACAAGAAAGGUUUGAUGAUUAAAAAAAGAUAUCAUCUACAACGAGGUGCUUGUAUUACCAUUCAGGCUAAUGUAAGAAGAUGGUUAUGCAGAAAACGAUAUCAGAGCAUGCGCGAAGCGAUUGGAACAAUCCAGUUAUAUUAUAGAGCAAGUUAUUGGGCCAAAGUGGAACGGAGGAUGUUCCUUAAAACAAGGAGUGCGAUCGUGGCCAUGCAGGCGUUCACACGUGGCUGGUUAGCACGUCGCAAAAUUGAACGACAACGCGCUGCUACACGUAUUCAAAGUUACUGGAAGAUGCAUGUUGCAAGACAAAGGUAUUUAUAUCAACGUGCAUGUGUUGUACGGAUACAAUGUUAUUUCCGUUUGUGGGUGAACUGUAAAAGAUACAUCACCUUGAGAAAAACGGCAAUUUUUAUCGAGACUUGUUACAGAGCAAAAAUACUUGGCAAGAAGGAACGAGAUCACUAUAAAAAAUUGAAAAGAUCUUGUAUUAUAAUUCAACAUGGUUACCGUAGGUACAGACAACGUCGUUUGGUCAACAAAAUUUUGGAAGCUGUUUCUUCUCAAAAAAAUGCUGCUUUGGUCCUUCAGAAACGACUUCGUGCUAAUAUGGCGGCCAGGAGCAUUCGUCAGUAUUAUCUUCUUUUGAAAAGAUCCUCUGUACUUAUACAAGCUUCCUAUCGUGGUCACUUAGCUCGAGCUCAUGUCGCCAGGAUCCGUUCUGCCAUCGUGAUACAGUCGUACUAUCGCGGACACCGGCAGGCAACCGAGUAUAGGGGGAUAAAAAAUGCCAUAAUCUUUGUCCAAGCUCUAACUCGAAGGAAUCAAGCAUUUGAGAGAUAUAGAAGUCUAAAAACUACUGCGUUGGUUGUUCAACGUCAUCGUAGAGCAGUUGUGAUUGGUUGCAGACAAAGAAAGAUGUUCUUAAAGAUGAAAGUAAGUGCUAUAAAAAUGCAAAGUUGCUAUCGAGGUUAUAGAGCACGGAAGGCGUAUGAACUUAUAAGACAAGCUACCAUAGAGAUUCAGAGCUUUAUCCGUGGAAUAAUAGCCUUAAAUAGAUAUGAGAAACUACGCAAAGCCAUUGUAAUACUUCAAACCAGAGAAAGAGCGAGAAUACGUGGAAAAGAAGAAAGAACAUCAUAUUUAAAGCUGAAAAAAAUACACCAUUUCUAUGCAGAGUUUAUUUCGUGCAAAACGCGAUGAAAUGAGUUACAUGCUUACUCGAAACACCAUUAUAAAGCUUCAAGCUAUGUUGCGUGGGAAACAUGCACGAAAAGUGUUUCAAAGAUCACGUUCAGCUGUUAUCGUGUUACAACGUGCACAACGAGCACGGAUGUUGGGAAAACGAGAACGGAUUCAAUUCAUGAAAAAAACGAAAUAGUACUGUGCGUAUUCAAAGUCUUAUAAGAAUGCACUCACAGCGAACACGCUAUUGCAAAUUACGACAUGCGGUAAUCAUUGCACAAACACGUUUCCGUGUGAAACGAGCGCGCAAAACUUACCAAACAAUGCGUACAGCUGCCAUAAUUAUUCAAAGAGCGGAACGUGCCAGAGUUCUUGGGAAGCAACAGAGAGUGAAAUUUUUAAAACUGAAAUGUAAAGCUGUUUUAAUUCAGAGUUUGGUACGAUGUCACACACAAAGAAUACGUUAUCUUAAAAUAGAACACGCUACCAACAUUAUUCAAGCGUAUGUUCGUGGCAAGAAAACACGACGUUUUUAUAAAGAACUACAUAAAGCUACACUGGUUAUUCAAAACCGCGUGCGAGCAAAACGUUUUGGUAGAAAAGACCGUCAAACAUUCCAGCUGAAGCGACAUUCAGUUAUUGCUAUACAGAGUUGGUUUAAGGCUUGCAAAAGAAGGCGGGAAUUUUUACAACUGAGAAAUGCCUCCGUAUUGUUGCAAGCCUUCUGGAGGGGAUCACAUCAACGAAAGAAAUACAAAGAAAUGAAGAAGGCCGCAGCUUGUAUUCAACAGCAUUAUCGUGCUCUUAAAACGGGAGAAGAGAAGAGACAUCGUUUUCUUGUCGUCAAACGGUUUGCCACGAAAACGCACAUCAAUCUCAUGGCAAUACGUUUACAACGAGCAUAUCGUAAAGCCAUGGCGAUUGCUCUGUUGAAAGCUAAGAUCGAUAGCGUGGUGAUAGUACAGCGAUGGUGGCGAGCUAAACUCCAGAGGAAAUUCUAUCUACGAACUCUGCAUUUCAUUCGUCUUCUCCAAAAGAAAUGGCGUACACGACUUACCAUAAUGCACCAGUCAGCGACAAGAAUUCAGGCAGUUGUGAGAUGUUUUUUAGCUCGAAGGUUUGCUCGAAAAUAAAUGAAAGCAAUCAUCAAUAUACAGAGAACGUGGCGAGGUUACAACGUUCGAAAGCGCUUCAACUCGAAGAAGUUUAGAAAACUAAGAGAGCGAAUUAUUGUGGCUAAUUCCAACGUCACCGAGUCCAUGAAGCUUUGCAAUCGUACUCGUUCUGCACUCGACUAUUUACUAAAUUGUAAGAAUUUAACAACGGUCCGUGAAGCUCUGGUUAAUCUUGAGGUUGCAACAAGAUGGACAUUCAAGUGUUCACAACAACUGGUUGAGAAUAACGCUCUCCGUGUUAUUUUUCAAAUUAUCCGAGACUCAAAUAGGAGUCUACCUCACAUGGGAUUGAUCAAACAGGCGUUAGAUAUUUUCACCAAUGUGUCCAAGUGUCCAGCCACUCAGGAUGCCGUGGUUUUAACAGAAGAAAAUGCAUUGGAAACCAUACUUGAACUCGCGUGUAUUUUUCGCGAGAAAAAGGAAAUUUUAUUCAGCGUUGCAAAGCUACUUACAAUUUUAUGUACUCACGAAAACGUAAGAAAGAAAUUACUGAAAACAGAAAACGCUGCAAUGAAGAUAUCUUCGAUUUACUCCAUCACAAAAAGGAAGUUUGAAAUCGAGAUGAAACGGAACACGAAGAUGAAACAACAAAAUGACAAGGGCGGACGAUACAAGACUGAUAACAUUUAUGGUGAUGCCUUAACAGCCGUGAUCACUCUUAUGAAAACGAUUGGUUUAGAUUAUCCCGUAUAGAUAGGUUUAGAUCAUCCCGUAUAAAUAGGUUUAUAUUGUUAGUGCAAUAAAAAAUCGCAUUGAUA